GUCUAGUUUCCGAGACACAGGGGGUCGAAGUUGGAAAAUGGUCUGGUCCUUUCAACAUUUUAGCUCUUUUCAUUUGGCAGUUAUCCUGUAUAUGACCAGACGGAUGACAUUCUUGAAUUUGAGCACGCAUUCAUUAUGAGUCAUCAUUCGAACUAUAUCGUUUGAAACCAUUCCUGGCUCAAAAUUUGAAUAAAACAAACAUUGCGAUGAAAUAAUACAGCGAUCGGAAUUUGGACAAAAGCUAAGAAGUUACGAGAAGAAACAUUUGUGCCCUUAUAUUUUGAGUGAUUCAUGCAUAUUUUUCUUCAGAUGUGAGCCAGUCAUUAAAAAAACUGAAA